rfam:Epulopiscium sp. Nuni2H_MBin001 Nuni2HMBin001_15, whole genome shotgun sequence.
UAGAUUUAAUAAAAUAAACCGUAGACAGUAGGUGCUAACGCAUAACGUAAAUCAACCUGCCUAGGUACAACAACAGUUAUAAGAGCUAUGCUUAAAUAGUCUCUUUGGCUAUAGGUGUCACUUAGCUUACGGUUUAUGCUAAAGUGACUAUUUUUUUAUCUAAAA